CCUGAGUGUUUGUUCUAGACCUGGCUUACCCGAGCGAACAGCUUAAGCCUAGGAGGAGGCGGCAAUCCGGGAAUACAGAAGCUUCGCCGGCUUUGAGACUUAUCCAAACCUCGUUCUAAAUUGGAAUUUGACACUAGAGAGAAAAGAAGUCGUGCACCGUACACCCUUCUUCACAAUUCAGAAGACUCAUAGAGGACAUGGGUUUCGGCAGAGUUUACAUACAGUUCACGUAAUAUCAAAGCGGUAAAAGCAAUCAACUGCCACAUUAAGCAUAUAUCAUAUAACAAAA
rnacentral:lncRNA from 1 species